rnacentral:rRNA from 1 species
AUUGAACGCUGGCGGCAUGCCUUACACAUGCAAGUCGAACGCGAAAGGGGGCAACCCCGAAUAGAGUGGCGAACGGGUGAGCAAUACAUCGGAACACGUCCUGUAGCGGGGGACAACCUCGAGAAAUCGAGGCUAAUACCGCAUACGAUCUACGGAUGAAAGUGGGGGACCGCAAGGCCCCACACUAUAGGUGUGGCCGAUGCCGGAUUAGCUAGUUGGCGGGGUAAUAGCCCACCAAGGCUACGAUCCGUAGCUGGUUUGAGAGAACGACCGACCACACUCGGAGUGAGACACUGGCCAGACUCCGACGGGAAGCAGCUGUGGGGAAUUGUGGACAAUGGGCGAAUGCCUGAUCCAGCCAUGCGGCGUGAGAGAAGAAGGCCUUCGGGUUGUAAAGCUCUUUCGGCGGGGACAAAAUGGCGCGGGGUAACAUCCCGCGUCGAUGACGGUACCCGAAGAAGAAGGACCGGCUAACUACGUGCAAGCCGCCACAGUAAAAC